GCAGGUGAGGUUGCAGAGGGUUUAGCCAAUAGAGUAAGGCAGAAGUCUAGCCGAUGGGAUCACAGGGGCUUAGCCGAUGGAGUCAGCCGAUGCGAGUAGGAGGGUUCUAGCCAAUUGGAAAUGUUGGAGGUUCGGCCGAUGAGGAGCAGGUUUUGGCCGGUAGAGGCCAAGUUCAUUUCCGACUCCUGCACAAGUUUUUUUAUUUAGAAAGUUUAUUUCUUUAGAGAUAGAUCUUAUGAUUUGUCGUAACCGACUAGGAUUAGAAAUCUUGAUGUAUAGGGUAUGAAUAGGAGCCUUGUAAGGUCUGGAGACACACAUCAUAAUCAAUACAAAUCUACUAUUUUCGUAAUUUACUUUCAAGUCGGCGACUUCGCCACCGUUUUCGUUUCUUCACGAGUUCUUCCAAACUAGUUGGGCUGUAUCGCUUCGAUCUCCAGCUAGACUGUAAGUUCCGCAUUUACCGAAAACUUCCUAGGCUUUAACUUCAGGCGCACCAUUGUCGUUUUGUCUAGAUUUAUUCACAAGUUAUCGAUAUUUACUAGAUCUGCAAGUUUUAUUCAUUAAAUCUUGUUGUUUUAGUUUUUAUCACAAUUAUCCAGCUUAGAACAUGUUCCGAUCAGCUUUUACUUACAAAUUUACCGUCACACAGUCGGUUAGAUCUGUUUUAAGUGUUGUUCACGUAGUACUAUUUAGAUUGUACUUUACGCUUCCUUUACAUCUACUACAUCCGCAUCAGCUGAUCUAGCCGAUUGUCUUUUCU
rnacentral:lncRNA from 1 species